rnacentral:rRNA from 1 species
UACGGGGGGGGUAAGCGUUGUUCGGAAUUACUGGGCGUAAAGGGCUCGUAGGCGGCCAACUAAGUCAGACGUGAAAUCCCUCGGCUUAACCGGGGAACUGCGUCUGAUACUGGUUGGCUUGAGGUUGGGAGAGGGAUGCGGAAUUCCAGGUGUAGCGGUGAAAUGCGUAGAUAUCUGGAGGAACACCGGUGGCGAAGGCGGCAUCCUGGACCAAUUCUGACGCUGAGGAGCGAAAGCCAGGGGAGCAAACGGG